AUGCGGAGGGCGUCUCCGACUACCGCCCCAUUAGCCUCAUCCAUGCCAUCACUAAGAUUAUUGCGAAGACGGCUGCACAUGUGGAAAACGCCCGCACUCCUAUUCAAGUUGGACAUCUGGAAGGCCUUCAAUUCGGUCAAGUGGGAGUUUAUUCUCGAGCUUCUCCAAAAGGGGUUCCCAAGCAAGGUUCGGAAUUGGAUCGCCGCACUUCUCUACACUUCCUCCUCCCGGAUCCUUUUGAAUGGGGUGGCUGGGCCGACGAUCAUACAUGACCAGGGCCUCCGCCAAGGUGAACCACUUUCGCCUCUCCUCUUUGUGCUUGCAAUCGACCCUCCUACAACAGAUUCUGGAGCUCGCAACACGGAAGGGCUCUUCCACAAGAUUCGUGGUAGGAGGGCCAUGGUGAGAACAUCCCUCUGCGCGGAUGAUGCGGCCAUGUUUAUGGCCCCUAUCAAGAGAGAUGUUGGCAACCUGACGUCAAUUCUAAAGGGAUUUGGGGAGGUGACCGGUCUUUGCACCAACUUCCAGAAGAGCUCAGUUGUGCCCAUUCGCUGCUCCCGCGUAGAGUUUUCCUGCGACUAG
rnacentral:rRNA from 1 species